GGUGGCUUAAUGGUAGAGUGCUUGCCUUGCAUGUAUGAGGCCCUGGGUUCAAUUCCUCAGCACCA
rnacentral:tRNA from 1 species